AACCUAGCACACCUGCGGUGUGUACCUGCGGAAGGAUCAUUACACAAAUUAAAAUAUGAAGGCUUCGGCUGGAUUAUUUUUAUCACCCUUGUCUUUUGCGCACUUGUUGUUUCCUGGGCGGGUUCGCCCGCCACCAGGACCACACCAUAAACCUUUUUUAUGCAGUUGCAAUCAGCGUCAGUAUAACAAAUGUAAAUCAUUUACAACUUUUAACAAUGGAUCUCAGAUCGGAAGAGCACA
rnacentral:misc_RNA from 1 species